AGUGAACGCUGGCGGUAGGCCUAACACAUGCAAGUCGAACGGCAGCACAGUAAGAGCUUGCUCUUACGGGUGGCGAGUGGCGGACGGGUGAGGAAUACAUCGGAAUCUACUUUUUCGUGGGGGAUAACGUAGGGAAACUUCGCUAAUACCCCAUUCGACCUACGGGUGAAAGCCGUGGAUCUUCGGACCUUUCGCGGUUUGAUUAUGCGAUGUCGGAUUAGCUAGUUGGCGGGGUAAAGGCCCACCAAGGCGACGAUCCGUAGCUGGUCUGAGAGGAUGAUCAGCCACACUGGAACUGAGACACGGUCCAGACUCCUACGGGAGGCAGCAGUGGGGAAUAUUGGACAAUGGGCGCAAGCCUGAUCCAGCCAUACCGCGUGGGUGAAGAAGGCCUUCGGGUUGUAAAGACCUUUUGUUGGGAAAGAAAAGCAGCAGGUUAAUACCCCGCUGUUCUGACGGUACCCAAAGAAUAAGCACCGGCUAACUUCGUG
rnacentral:rRNA from 1 species